ensembl:misc_RNA Y_RNA Y RNA
GGCUGGUCCAAAGGUGGUGAGUUAUCCCAAUUGGUUGUUCAUAGUUACAGACCAAACUCUUUGUUCUACUCUUUCCUCCCUUCUGAUUUUACUAGUCUUAA